UACGUAGGUGGCAAGCGUUACUCGGAAUCACUAGGCGUAAAGCGCAGGUAGGCGGUUUGAUAAGUCUGUUGUGAAAGCUCCCGGCUUAACUGGGAGAGGUCAACGGAAACUAUCAGGCUAGAGUGUGGUAGAGGUAGCUGGAAUUCCCGGUGUAGCGGUGAAAUGCGUAGAGAUCGGGAGGAACACCAGAGGCGAAGGCGGCGACCUGGACAAGUACUGACGCUCAGGCACGAAAGCGUGGGGAGCAAACAGG
rnacentral:rRNA from 1 species